UGGACAUGUUGUAUUUUAAAAGUCAGUAAUCUUAUAUUAAUGUUAAAAUGUGGUGUUCCAAAUUUCAGUGUUAUGAGCACUGAUUAGGUUCCCAGGCUAUCAUUAAUUUAAUACACAUUGUAGCUAAGAUAGGAUUUUGAUACUAUUAUAUUAUAGUGGAUUCAUCUGUGUCCUCCCCAUCCCCCAAAUAUGUUCAAGUCCUAAACUCCUGUACUUGUGAAUGUGACUCUAUUUGGAAAAGGGUUUUUGCAGGCAUAAUCAAAUCAAGAUGAGGUCAUACUGGAUGAGGACAGGCUCUAGAUUCAGUGACUCUUAUCUUCAUAAGAGACUUGGACACAGAGGGAAGAAGAUCAUGUGAGGACGGAGGCAGAGGUUGGCAUUAAGCUUCCACAAGCCAAGGAAUGCCUGGACCCAUCAAAAGUUGGAAAAGGCAAGAAAAGAUUCUCUUCUAGCACCUUCGAUGGAGUGUGGCCAUGCUGACACCUCAGUUUCAGAAUUUUGGCCUCCAGAAUGGAGAAGAGUCUUGACAACAUUCAACAAAUACUCAGCGUGAUGACAAGUCUGCUGUUCCCUGUUAUAGAUGAUGUCUCAUGGGACUGAGUAACGGGCUAAGAUUGCCCAAUCGGAGGCUGUUCCAUGUCAUCCUCCCUCAAAAACGUUAGAUAAUGGUGCCUCCACCAUGUGGAACAUCAAGGUUGGUUGUGUUGGGGCAAAGGGAGCAGUGGAUAAUUUCACACUGGGGAUUAAAACUUCCACCCAGAAAUGACACAUUACUCCUUGAUAUGAUUUGGUUGUGUCCCCACCCAAAUCUCAUGUUGGAUUGUAGCUCCCAUAAUUCCCAUGUAUUGUGGGAGGCACCCAGUGGGAGGAAACUGAAUAAUGAGGGUGGGUCUUUCCCAUGCUGUUCUCGUGGUAGUGAAUAAGUCUCGUGAGAGCUAAUGGUUUCAUAAAAGGGAGUUCUCCUGCAUAAACUCUCUUGCCUGCCGCCGUGUAAGACAUGACUUUGCUCCUCAUUCACCUUCUGUCAUAAUUGUGAGGCCUCCCCAGCCAUGUGGAACUGUGAGUUAAUUAAACCUCUUUCCUUUAUAAAUUACCCAGUCUUGGGUAAAUUUAUUCUUUAUUAGUGGCAUGAGAACAGACUAAUACACUCCUCCUCUCAUUUCAUUGCACAAACUAACUGGCCUAGCUGCACCUGACCUCAAGUGGGCCAAAGAAGUACCAUCCCCCCAGUGCCAAGGAGGAAAGUCAGCAACACUGUCAACUACAGUCAGUGCCAGUGAGAAAGGUCAGGGCUAAGGAGGCCUGCAGUAAUGGUGAAGGAGAGUUUUGAGCUUUGGAAUAAUUUUCUUCACAGAUUUCAAAGCUCAGGUCCUAUUCUCAGGAUAACCUAGCAGGGAAGAAUUUCUAAAAAGUGAGAAAAUUAGCCUAUUUAGUUAGAUCACCAUUUUACAGACAACGUGGUGAUCUUGUUAUCAAAUAAUCACUAGCAAGUUUCAGGGAGUUACUUCAGUGCUAAGGAAAACAAGCUAAUGAUAAUAGUUGCUGGGAUAUUUUUGUGUCUAUAGUUUGGUAUUUUGCUCCAAAAGCAAACCAGGAAUACUCUCUGAUGAUAUGCAAAUAAAUUUUUAAAAUACAAAUAAAACAAACUGUCAACUUUAGAGAAGCCAAAUUACCAGUAGUAAGUAAAUAUCAGCAACAUGGACUGGGCAUCUUGAUACAAAUGUGGCCAGGAGGUAGGUUGUGGCUAUGUAGCUGUGAACGCUGUUGAGUGCAGUCAUGGCUGGAGCCAACCAGGAAUUCUCUGGUAUGGGAAGAUUUGGAGAGACAUUGUUCUCAUGAGUUUUUGUUGAGAUGGAAAAAUGGAGCCCUUCUUUAUCUCUCUCUACUCUCUUUGGGUGCUCAUUACUAUAAGCAGCAACCACAUUCCAAAUCCACUUGGCAAAGUUCUUUACCCAAAACCCCUUUGUAAAAAACAGUCAAAGCCUGUAUUUGAACAAGGCAAUCUGAUUGCAGAGCUGCAUAGUUUACUACUACAAUAUGGUGACGCUCAAAUGUGUUUGACUACAGUUUCUAAUGCAAAUUUUCUCAUAUAUACUGUUUUAGCCACAUGAUACCUAAAUGCUAUGUCAUUAAAGGUCACUGAAUAUACACUUCCCAUCUCAUUCCUAGUAAUUGAGGUAGAGAUGUACUAAUUUACUUCAUUUAUUAUGGAUUCUUUAUGCUUUUCUUCAUUUUGCACCACUGUAGGUUACGUUGUGAUGAGGACUUUAGUUUUGGCAAGUAUCCUUAAUCGUUUGCUUAGGAAAAAGCUCCUACAAGUGGAAUUUCUGGGUCAAAGGGUAUGCUUGUAGAGUCACUACUUUUGGCCAUGCCAACUUCACCUAGAUGUCAACUCCAAGUAAAUUAGAAUGGUGACCCCUGAAACUGUGCUAGUCUUACAGUGCUGUAACAUUAGGUAUGGAUUUUAACAUCCAUAACUGCCAGUCUUCCAGAAAGUUUGUGCUGAAUAAUGCUUCCAUGAGCAAUAUUCAAGAAAGCAUUUCUGUCCGGGUGGCAUAUACAGUAAUCCUAGUAAUAAUAAUAAUAAAAACAUCUGCCAUUUUUUAAAGUAAUAAAAUAUUUCAUUGUUUCAAUUUUGCAUUUCAACAAAGUAUUUUGAAAAUUGCAUCAGUGCAUUCUCAUGGUUUGUUUCCUCUGAUCCAAGUGGCUGCCCUCAGAAUGCUUCUUUUCCAGUGUUCAAUUAUGCUGAUAAAGUCUGAUCAAAGAGAGGACCUGUCAGGCCCAGGAAGCAUGACAUGGAGUAUAUGUGCCAAUGAAUGAUUAAAUUAGAUGAUGUCUGGCCUAAUAGAAUGCAGCUAUAUUCUUAUAUGUGCUUCUUCAUUCAAUGAGAUAUAAUGUGUUAUUUAGAUUGAAAUAUAUGAAGAAAAUCUGGUCUCACAUAGAUAUGUGGGUGGAAAAGGGAAGAGUAAUUUAAUAGCUUUUCAGAUAAUUGUGGCUAUUUUUUCAUACUACAUCAAAACUUGACAAGUGAUAUUUCUUAGAGGUUAGUAAUGAUGUAGAAUGUGAAACCAUAUCAAUGAAAAUUUUGUAUUCUGUUACAUUAAAACCUAUUGGUCUAUCUUGCACUUUGAAUGAAUUUUUUUUUAUAAUGCAUGAUUUUGUAACAACAUUGACCAUGUGGAAAAUAAUGAUCUUCUGAAAUACAUCUUCAUAAGGUGGAUUCAUUUCAUAUAAUAAAUUGUCAAGUCACAUUUAUUAAUAUCACUGCUGAGUUCAUAAAGUAUUUAAAUAUUGAGAACUGUCACACUCAUGACAGUAGAUGUGAGUUUUCCAAAAUUUCAAUUUCAACUACAAAGUUUCCAUUUUAAAAUUAGCAAAACAAAUGAUAUUAUUUAUUACCCUUGAAAUGACAAACUUUCUUCAUUUAUUUUUGAGAAAAUUUCUACUAAUUAUCUAAGUCUAAAUAGCUAUAGUUUGUCUGUCAUUUCUCCUUUCCAGUAAAAAUUAUGUUCCAUGAAAAAAGUGGCUAGUUUAGCUAGUAACUUAAGUCAUCACACAAACACUUUUCUACGAAACUGCUAUUAAACUUUGCUAGGUAGCAGAAUUUUUUAUGUAGCCUUCCCAUUUUGUCACACAAUAUUAGAAAGACGUGUACUCAAAGGUUGUGAUUUAAUAAAAUUAAUAUUGUUUUUACUACUUCAUAAAGGAAUUUCUUAGUUAAAACUGGCAUUUAAAAAAAUGGGGCAUAUAUGGCAGUGAAGAAUGCAAUGACUAGUAGUACAUUGUGGACCCACUGCUUUGAUUUGUGCUAGGGCACCAGCAAUUUUACCUGCCAUUGCUUUUAUGCUGUCACUGGAAAUGUCAACAUGGUAACAAAAAACAAAUAACAUUUAAUUUUAUUAUUAAAAAAUAUUUUGACAUUGAAGACUCCCUGAAAGAGUCCCGAGGGAGUUUUCAGGAGUCCACAAACCACAUUUUAAAAGCCUCUGCUACAGGAUGACCUGGGUAAGGUGGAAAUAGCUUUUUACUACCCGGAUCCUCCACCAAUAGGGAUAUUGUACUCAGUAAAUAUCCUGUAGCUGUAGUCAUUUGGUUAGCAUUUAUGGGUACAUUUUUAAGUUCCUCAGAAUUAGGAGUGCUAGUUUUGAUUUCCUCUACAUUAAAGCCAUGGUAUAUAAAGAGAGAUGAGAAACAGUGACUCAGUGAGGAAAGAAAGAGAAUGGGAAAAUCCAGAGCUAUCUAGGGUCAGUGGGGCCAGUGUAUGUGUUGGGGAGUUUCCAUUUUCCACUUGGGUGGUGAAGAACUUCAAAGAACUCCUGGCAAAUAAUGACUCUCCAAACCCCUGCACUAAGAGACUUGAUGAGACCUGAUGAACCCCUGCUAGAGGGGUUUGUCAACCCCUCUAGCAACCUAAGGCCAUGUCCCUGGGAUAACCCAGUCUCCUUUUCAGUUUCUGUCUAGAAAAGCUCAGGGCUGUCAUAUGAAAUUGUUUGCUCUAACUGACACCACAUCAUGAGAGGCUCAUGAUCUCCCUUUCCUGAAAAGGACUUCAUGCUUGUGAAUUUUUCCUUUGUCCCUUUGACAUGUAUACAUAUUUCCUAUAAUGUAGGCUUGUCUUUCUCAAGGACCUGAAAGCCAUUCUUUGAAAUGUGAUCAUCAGAAAGAUAGGGGCUCUGUCUCACAAUCUCUGUGAGGAGUUAGAAAUCCUACCUUCCAUAAUAGCCAGCCAGCCAGCCAAGCCAGCUGGCCUAAUUACAUUUUCACCCAUCAACUCUUUGCCAUUUUUCUCUUCCCUGACUCUGCUUGGGACAUCUUCCCUUCCCUACUCUCUCAUUCUCCCUUUAAAAAGUCCAGUCACCUCUGUGCAAAUCAUAAACUGGAUUGGAGCUCAGCUCUUUCCCCUAUGGUCAGUGGAUACCUAAUACAAUCCUUUUCACUACUUCACUGUCUGACUUUGCUCAUCUUUGACAGUGAGCUUACCAAAGUAGGCAAUGUCCUGCCUUAUCUAAGUAACAUAAUCGCCCCAGUCCUGAGUGCGGCUAUGGAGCAGUGGGUCUUCAAGUGUGGUCCCCAGAGCAGCAUCAUCACCCUUGAGAACUUUUUAAAAACACAAAUUUGGGGCAUCCGUCCUGAUCUAUUGAAUCAAUCACUCUGGGGUUGGGACCCCACAGUCUGUGGUCUAACAGGCUCUACAAGUGAUUCUGAUGCUUGUUGAUGUUUUUGAACACAGUUGUAGGGAAUAGCAAGCUUAUUAAGGGUGCAAUGGAGGCAAGGCCAGUGCUCAGCUUUUAGGGACUCAAUGCCAAGAGGGUGUCAAAACAGAGGAAAUGAUUCUCCAGCUGGGCUAGCCUCACCCGUCUUCCUGAGCUACUAGAAACUCCAUCUGGGCAAUGCCACUUCCAUCCUGUUCCAGAGGGGAGCACAUGCAAACUCCUUAGAACCCAUGGUCCCCAGAAUGAAGCAUGAGCUACUCUGCUUUAGUACGGCUUCUCAUGGAAGUGCCAGCUCUCCCCAUGGAAGUGCCAGCUCUCCCCUGGCUAAGGGUUUGCUAGUAAAACUUAACCCAAGACUAGUGAUAAUCUUACAGAUAUUAUGUUGAGGAAAGAAGUCAGCCAAAAAAGAAUGAAUAUUAUAUGGCUUUAUAUCAAGUUCAAAAUGGGGCAACAUUGCCAAAAUGACAGAAUAGUAGUUGCCUCUGGGGGUUGGAUAUAGACUUGGGAUUGGCCCUAGAGAACAUUCUGGGAAUGGCACCAUGUGCAGAAGUUAUGUAGGUGUAUAGAGAUGUAAAGUCACAUCAAACUAUGUUAACACAUGCGAAUGUGUUUUUACCUCCAUA